rnacentral:rRNA from 1 species
UACGAAGGGGGCUAGCGUUGCUCGGAAUCACUGGGCGUAAAGGGUGCGUAGGCGGGUCUUUUAAGUCAGGGGUGAAAUCCUGGAGCUCAACUCCAGAACUGCCUUUGAUACUGAAGACUCUUGAGUUCGGGAGAGGUGAGUGGAACUGCGAGUGUAGAGGUGAAAUUCGUAGAUAUUCGCAAGAACACCAGUGGCGAAGGCGGCUCACUGGCCCGAUACUGACGCUGAGGCACGAAAGCGUGGGGAGCAAACAGGG